GUUAAAAAGCUCGUAGUUGGAUUUCUGGUAGGAUGACUGUGCCCUCAGUAGAGUGUGCGCUGGCGUCUUGCCAUCCUUCUGUUAACCUUUGGGAGCUUCACCGCUCCCUUUGGGGCUCAGAUAUUUUACCUUGAGAAAAUUAGAGUGUUUCAGGCAGGCUAGCGCCGGAAUACAUUAGCAUGGAAUAAUGGAAUAGGACUGAGGUCUCUUUGUUGGUUUGAGGGACUCCAGUAAUGAUUAAUAGGGACAGUUGGGGGCAUUAGUAUUUAUUAGUCAGAGGUGGAAUUCUAUGAUUUGAUAAAGACUAACUUAUGCGAAAGCAUUUGCCAAGGAUGUUUUCAUUAAUCAAGAACGAAAGUUAGGGGAUCAAAGACGAUCAGAUACCGUCCUAGUCUUAACCAUAAACUAUGCCGACUCGGG
rnacentral:rRNA from 1 species